AAAAGCUAUAAGCAUAAUUUGCUGAAAGCUUAAUGAAUACAGUAGCAAGUAGAUAACCGUUCAUCUUGACUAUAACCAUAAUUAAAGCAUGUGACAUAAAUGAGGACAGUUACCCUGGAUACUGACAAAGUCUCUGAGAACCACUUGUCUCCUCCUCAGUCUUCCUGGAAUUACCCCAUGACCCCAUCAAGGGCCAGGAUUGUCAUUGGACCUUCUGCUGUGUUCUUUCAACCACAGACUCACUCUGUGCAGAGACCUCAAGAGAAACCAAUGCCCAAAGAAAGACAAAUAAUUUCCUCAAGUGAAAGGAAGGCAAAACAAUUUGUUAAAACUUUGGUGAUUGUACUGGUUGGUUUUGUGUGUCAAUUGGAGAUAAGCAAGAGUUGUUACAGAAAAAGGAGCCUCCGUUGAGGAAAUGCCUCCUUGAGAUCCAGCUAUAGGCAUUCUCCCAAUUAGUGAUCAAUGGAGGAAGACCCAGCCCAUUGUGGGUGUUGUCAAUCCCUGAACUGGUGGUCCUAGGUUCUAUAAAAGGUAGGCUGAGGAAGCCAGGGAAAGCAAACCAGUAAGCAGCACUCCUCCAUGGCCUAUGCAUCAGCUCCUGCCUCCAGGUUCCUGCCCUGCUUGAGUUCCUGUCCUGACUUCCUUUGGUGAUGAACAUCAAUGUGGAAGUGUAAGCCGAAUAAACCUUUUCUUCCCCAACUUGCGUUUUGGUCAUGGUGUUUUAUCACAGUAAUAGAAACCCUGACUAAGACAGUGACCCACAGACAUUAGAGGGAAUGUAAAUUCUGGGCCUCCUACUUCAUGGCAUAAAAUGCUGAGAUUGGAGUGCCCAUCAUGAGAACCAUAUAGAACAGGACUUACUUAAACAUGAAAUAAUACACAAUUAAAUGCUGCUUCGGAUGACAGGGAAAUCAAAGGCACUUAUGACAAAGAAUAAUAAGGAAGAGAAGAUGAAAAGAAAGGGAAGAUUUCUAUUUCUAUUCAUGUCCGUACAUAAAUCUAAAAACACUUGCUGGACACCAUGACUCCUACCUUUAAUUCCCACACUCAGAGGUAGGUGGAUUUCUACGAGCUUGAGGCUAGCCUGGUCUACAUAGUGAAUUUCUGAUCUCCACAGUGAGAUCUU
rnacentral:lncRNA from 1 species